UACGGAGGUUGCAAGCGUUGUUCGGAAUUACUGGGCGUAAAGCGCGUGUAGGCGGCCUUCUAAGUCUGGUGUGAAAGCCCGGGGCUCACCCCCGGAAGUGCAUUGGAUACUGGAAGGCUGGAGUACCGGAGAGGAGGGUGGAAUUCCUGGUGUAGCGGUGAAAUGCGUAGAUAUCAGGAGGAACACCUGUGGCGAAGGCGGCCCUCUGGACGGAUACUGACGCUGAGACGCGAAAGCGUGGGGAGCAAACAGG
rnacentral:rRNA from 1 species